rnacentral:rRNA from 1 species
CAGUCGACGCUUCUUUUUCACCGGAGCUUGCUCCACCGGAAAAAGAGGAGUGGCGAACGGGUGAGUAACACGUGGGUAACCUGCCCAUCAGAAGGGGAUAACACUUGGAAACAGGUGCUAAUACCGUAUAACAAUCGAAACCGCAUGGUUUUGAUUUGAAAGGCGCUUUCGGGUGUCGCUGAUGGAUGGACCCGCGGUGCAUUAGCUAGUUGGUGAGGUAACGGCUCACCAAGGCCACGAUGCAUAGCCGACCUGAGAGGGUGAUCGGCCACAUUGGGACUGAGACACGGCCCAAACUCCUACGGGAGGCAGCAGUAGGGAAUCUUCGGCAAUGGACGAAAGUCUGACCGAGCAACGCCGCGUGAGUGAAGAAGGUUUUCGGAUCGUAAAACUCUGUUGUUAGAGAAGAACAAGGAUGAGAGUAACUGUUCAUCCCUUGACGGUAUCUAACCAGAAAGCCACGGCUAACUACGUGCCAGCAGCCGCGGUAAUACGUAGGUGGCAAGCGUUGUCCGGAUUUAUUGGGCGUAAAGCGAGCGCAGGCGGUUUCUUAAGUCUGAUGUGAAAGCCCCCGGCUCAACCGGGGAGGGUCAUUGGAAACUGGGAGACUUGAGUGCAGAAGAGGAGAGUGGAAUUCCAUGUGUAGCGGUGAAAUGCGUAGAUAUAUGGAGGAACACCAGUGGCGAAGGCGGCUCUCUGGUCUGUAACUGA